rnacentral:rRNA from 1 species
CAAUAGCGUAUAUUAAAGUUGUUGCAGUUAAAAAGCUCGUAGUUGGAUUUCGGGGCAGCCUGGCUGGUCCGCCGCAAGGCGAGUACUGGUAAGCCGCCCUUCCUCUCGAAAGCCCCGACUGCUCUUCGUUGCAGUGGUCGGGUAGUUCGGGACGUUUACUUUGAAAAAAUUAGAGUGUUCAAGGCAGGCCUACGCCUGAAUACAUUAGCAUGGAAUAAUGGAAGAGGACCUCGGUCCUAUUUUGUUGGUUUCCAGGGCCGAAGUAAUGAUUAAGAGGGACAGUUGGGGGCAUUCGUAUUUAAUUGUCAGAGGUGAAAUUCUCGGAUUUAUGAAAGACGAACAACUGCGAAAGCAUUUGCCAAGGAUGUUUUCAUUAA